rnacentral:RNase_P_RNA from 1 species
CGGGACGCCCAGGCAAUCGCGCAGCGCACAAACGCUUCGAGGAAAGUCCGGGCUCCACAGCACAGGGUGGUCGAUAACGUCGACUCAGGGUAACCUGCAGGCCAGUGCCACAGAAAACAAACCGCCCCACCACGGGGUAAGGGUGAAAAGGUGAGGUAAAAGCUCACCAGUACUGCAGGCGACUGCAGUAGCUCGGUAAACCCCACCCGGAGCAAGGCCAAACAGGGCGCGCUAGUAACCAGUGCGGUGAAGCGCCCGGGUAGGCUGCUUGAACCCGCCGGCAACGACGGGUCUAGAUGGAUGAUUGCCGCCUGCCCUCGGGUAGGUACAGAACCCGGCUUAUCGGGCGUCCCGUUCU